AUCGUCGACCUGCUGCGGGCAGAUGAAAUGGAUAUGGCAGUCGAUGCCGCCGGCGGUGACGAUCUUGCCCUCGCCCGCUAUGGCCUCCGUGCCGGGCCCGAUCACGAUGUCGACGCCGGGCUGCACGUCGGGAUUGCCGGCCUUGCCGAUCGCGACGAUCAAGCCGCCCUUGAGGCCGAUAUCGGCUUUCACGAUCCCCCAAUGAUCGAGGAUCAGGGCAUUGGUGAUCACCGUGUCGACGGCGCCCUGCGCCCGCGUGCGCUGGCUCUGGCCCAUGCCGUCGCGGAU
rnacentral:sRNA from 1 species